rnacentral:rRNA from 1 species
UNUGGAAACUGUCUGACUUGAGUGCAGAAGGGGAGAGUGGAAUUCCAUGUGUAGCGGUGAAAUGCGUAGAUAUAUGGAGGANCACCAGUGGCGAAAGCGGCUCUCUGGUCUGUCACUGACGCUGAGGCUCGAAAGCGUGGGUAGCGAACAGGAUUAGAUACCCUGGUAGUNCACGCCGUAAACGAUGAGUGCUAGGUGUUAGGCCCUUUCCGGGGCUUAGUGCCGGAGCUAACGCAAUAAGCACUCCGCCUGGGGAGUACGACCGCAAGGUUGAAACUCAAAGGAAUUGACGGGGGCCCGCACAAGCGGUGGAGCAUGUGGUUUAAUUCGAAGCAACGCGAAGAACCUUACCAGGUCUUGACAUCCCGAUGCUAUUCUUAGAGAUAGGAAGUUACUUCGGUACAUCGGAGACAGGUGGUGCAUGGUUGUCGUCAGCUCGUGUCGUGAGAUGUUGGGUUAAGUCCCGCAACGAGCGCAACCCUUAUUGUUAGUUGCCAUCAUUAAGUUGGGCACUCUAGCGAGACUGCCGGUAAUAAACCGGAGGAAGGUGGGGAUGACGUCAAAUCAUCAUGCCCCUUAUGACCUGGGCUACACACGUGCUACAAUGGUCGGUACAACGAGUUGCGAGCCGGUGACGGCAAGCUAAUCUCUGAAAGCCGAUCUCAGUUCGGAUUGGAGGCUGCAACUCGCCUCCAUGAAGUCGGAAUCGCUAGUAAUCGCGGAUCAGCACGCCGCGGUGAAUACGUUCCCGGGCCUUGUACACACCGCCCGUCACACCACGAGAGUUUGUAACACCCGAAGUCGGUGAGGUAACCUUUUAGGGGCC